rfam:Felis catus isolate Cinnamon breed Abyssinian chromosome B3, whole genome shotgun sequence.
AAAGAUGGUUGACCAUAGAACAUGCGCUAUCUCUAUGUCGUAUGUAAUAUGGUCCACGUCUUCU